rnacentral:lncRNA from 1 species
UUGGUAAUGCAACCUAUUUGGUCGCGCCCGUGGUGGCCAUGUCACAAUGAUAUUCCAUGCGGAUUCAACACGCUGGAGACUCGCGUGUUGGAUGAUCGAACGACCUGCAUGUUUUAGUGAAAAUCGAAUGGUUGAGGAUCCUUCCUACCUUUGGAUGCAAUCUAACAGCUCCUAGAUGCAUAGAGGAUGAUGAUUAUGAUCAUGCGGCUGACAAACAAGAUGCUGAUUAGAAGAUUGAGGCAUG